UGAUUCAAGCUACGAAGGGCACACGGUGGAUGCCUUGGCAGUCAGAGGCGAUGAAG
rnacentral:rRNA from 1 species